rnacentral:rRNA from 1 species
AACGAACGCUGGCGGCGCGCCUAAUACAUGCAAGUCGAGCGAGAAGACGUAGCAAUACGUUUGUAAAGCGGCGAACGGGUGAGGAAUACAUGGGUAACCUACCCUCGAGUGGGGAAUAACUAGCCGAAAGGUUAGCUAAUACCGCGUACGCUCCUUGGACUUCGGUUCAUGGAGGAAAGCGAUACCGUGGGUAUCGCGCUCUUGGAUGGGCUCAUGUCCUAUCAGCUGUUGGUGAGGUAACGGCUCACCAAGGCUUCAACGGGUAGCUGGUCUGAGAGGACGAUCAGCCACACUGGCACUGCGACACGGGCCAGACUCCUACGGGAGGCAGCAGUAAGGAAUAUUGCGCAAUGGGCGAAAGCCUGACGCAGCGACGCCGCGGUGGGGGA